rnacentral:tRNA from 1 species
GCCUCUGUGGGCUAAUGGAUAAGGCAUCGGCCUCCUGCCGGGAUUGCGAGUUCGAGUCCCGCCAGAGGUA